rnacentral:tRNA from 1 species
GGCCUUGUAGCUCAGUGGAUAGAGCGCUCGUUUCCGAUGCGAGAAGUCCCAGGUUCGACCCCUGGCUGGGUCG